AUGAACGCUGACGGCGUGCCUAAUACAUGCAAGUCGAGCGAACGGACGAGAAGCUUGCUUCUCUGAUGUUAGCGGCGGACGGGUGAGUAACACGUGGAUAACCUACCUAUAAGACUGGGAUAACUUCGGGAAACCGGAGCUAAUACCGGAUAAUAUUUUGAACCGCAUGGUUCAAAAGUGAAAGACGGUCUUGCUGUCACUUAUAGAUGGAUCCGCGCUGCAUUAGCUAGUUGGUAAGGUAACGACUUACCAAGGCAACGAUGCAUAGCCGACCUGAGAGGGUGAUCGGCCACACUGGAACUGAGACACGGUCCAGACUCCUACGGGAGGCAGCAGUAGGGAAUCUUCCGCAAUGGGCGAAAGCCUGACGGAGCAACGCCGCGUGAGUGAUGAAGGUCUUCGGAUCGUAAAACUCUGUUAUUAGGGAAGAACAUAUGUGUAAGUAACUGUGCACAUCUUGACGGUACCUAAUCAGAAAGCCACGGCUAACUACGUG
rnacentral:rRNA from 1 species